rnacentral:rRNA from 1 species
UACGGAGGAUCCGAGCGUUAUCCGGAUUUAUUGGGUUUAAAGGGUGCGUGGGCGGUUUGAUAAGUUAGAGGUGAAAUGUCGGGGCUCAACCCCGAAACUGCCUCUAAUACUGUUGGACUAGAGAAUAGUUGCGGUAGGCGGAAUGUAUGGUGUAGCGGUGAAAUGCUUAGAGAUCAUACAGAACACCGAUUGCGAAGGCAGCUUACCAAACUAUAUCUGACGUUGAGGCACGAAAGCGUGGGUAGCAAACAGG